AAAGUCGUAACAAGGUAACCGUAGGUGAACCUGCGGUUGGAUCAUUACUGUAAAGUUAGCCUCUUGGCUAGCGGGAAGUAAUCCGCACCUAAUCAUGUGAACUGUUAGAAGCGCGUAAUGGCGUUUAGCCAAGGAUGAACAGUUGCCUAAGGGUAGCGGUGAUUUUUUGGCCUUGAUCAUGCGGUUGUUUAGGGAUUGGCGAGCUGCACUUAAUCGGUGCUCUUGCAAAUUCACCUUCUGUCACGCUUAUGGCGGCGUUAGGUGGGGCCAGCAGUUCUCUGCAGGCAGUCCUAACAAUUUGCAAUUUUAAACCUUUAGCUAUUCGUUUGUUCAUAACUUUGUAUUGCGAAAGCAAUGUAAUUAAAUACAAUUUCUGACAACGGAUCUCUAGGCUCUC
rnacentral:misc_RNA from 1 species